rnacentral:rRNA from 1 species
CCUACGGGGGGCAGCAGUGGGGAAUAUUGCACAAUGGGGGAAACCCUGAUGCAGCGACGCCGCGUGAGUGAAGAAGUAUUUCGGUAUGUAAAGCUCUAUCAGCAGGGAAGAAACCCACCCUCCGGGGUGGCUGACGGUACCUGACUAAGAAGCCCCGGCUAACUACGUGCCAGCAGCCGCGGUAAUACGUAGGGGGCAAGCGUUAUCCGGAUUUACUGGGUGUAAAGGGAGCGUAGGUGGGUAGGCAAGUCAGAUGUGAAAACCCCGGGCCCAACCCCGGGAGUGCAUUUGAAACUGUCUGGCUAGAGUGAAGGAGAGGUAAGUGGAAUUCCUAGUGAAGCGGUGAAAUGCAUAGAUAUUAGGAGGAACACCAGAGGCGAAGGCGGCUUACUGGACUGUAACUGACACUGAGGCUCGAAAGCGUGGGGAGCAAACAGGAUUAGAUACCCGGGUAGUC